GUGCAACAGCCAGCAAAAAUGCCACAUUGAGCUUUUGGAGGACGAGUCCUGCCCUGCCUCCUCCUCCAAAUAUCUGCAGAUGGUCUAUAGCUGUGAACAGAAAGUAUGUCUCGACAGUCUGGUCAUCGCCGACGGGAGCGUCGCAGACUCUUCCUUCAUAGCCUCCUCCUCAAUGGAAGACGCCACCCCAGAAAAAGCCCGCCUCAAUGGAGAGUCCUGCUGGAAGCCGUCAAAAGCUCCCAUCGGCAGUUGGAUCCAGGUGAACCUCGGUAACACGAGAAAGGUGACGGGGAUCGUGACCCAGGGCUGUGAUGGCGCU